rnacentral:rRNA from 1 species
CUACGGAGGGUGCGAGCGUUGUUCGGAAUUAUUGGGCGUAAAGAGCAUGUAGGCGGUCUGUUAAGUCUGGUGUGAAAGCCCGGGGCUCAACCCCGGAAGUGCAUUGGAUACUGGCAGACUUGAGUAUGGGAGAGGAAAGCGGAAUUCCGAGUGUAGGAGUGAAAUCCGUAGAUAUUCGGAGGAACACCAGUGGCGAAGGCGGCUUUCUGGACCAAUACUGACGCUGAGAUGCGAAAGCGUGGGGAGCAAACAGGAUUAGAUACCCGAGUAGUCC